rnacentral:rRNA from 1 species
GUGGAUUAGGCAUGCAAGUCGUGCGAGAAGGGUUCUUUUGCUUGCAUUAGGACCCGGAAAGCGGCGAAAGGGAGAGUAACGCGUGGAUUAUCUACCCCUGGAUCCGGGAUAGCUGUGGGAAACUACAGGUAAUACCGGAUAACGUCUCCGGACCAAAGGUGUGAUUCCGUCUGGGGAUGAGUCCGCGUCCUACUAGCUUGUUGGUGGGGUAAUGGCCUACCAAGGCAAUGAUGGGUACCGGGUGUGAGAGCAUGGCCCGGCUCACUGGGACUGAGACACUGCCCAGACACCUACGGGUGGCUGCAGUCGAGAAUCUUCCGCAAUGGGCGCAAGCCUGACGGAGCGACGCCGCGUGCGGGAUGAAGGCCUUCGGGUUGUAAACCGCUGUCAGUUGGGAGGAAAUGCAUAAGGGUACUCUCUUAUGUUUGACCGAUCUUCAGAGGAAGUCCGGGCUAAGUUCGUGCCGGCAGCCGCGGUAAGACGAACCGGACGAACGUUAUUCGGAAUUACUGGGCUUAAAGAGUGCGUAGGCGGCUUUGUAGGUGAGGUGUGAAAUCCCACGGCUCAACCGUGGAACUGCGCUUCAAACCACUUGGCUUGAGAGAGACAGAGGUAAGCGGAACUGAUGGUGGAGCGGUGAAAUGCGUUGAUAUCAUCAGGAACACCAGUGGCGAAGGCGGCUUACUGGGUCUCUUCUGACGCUGAGGCACGAAAGCUAGGGUAGCGAACGGGAUUAGAUACCCCGGUAGUCCUAGCUGUAAACGAUGAGCACUUGGUCGAGGAGACUUCCACAUCUUCUCGGCCGUAGCGAAAGUGUUAAGUGCUCCGCCUGGGGAGUAUGGUCGCAAGGCA